UACGAAGGGGGCUAGCGUUGUUCGGAAUCACUGGGCGUAAAGGGCGCGUAGGCGGCCGAUCAAGUCGGGGGUGAAAGCCUGUGGCUCAACCACAGAAUUGCCUUCGAUACUGUUUGGCUUGAGACCGGAAGAGGUUAGUGGAACUGCGAGUGUAGAGGUGAAAUUCGUAGAUAUUCGCAAGAACACCAGUGGCGAAGGCGGCUAACUGGUCCGGUUCUGACGCUGAGGCGCGAAAGCGUGGGGAGCAAACAGG
rnacentral:rRNA from 1 species